UCUAUAUAAAAAUAUGAGGGGGGCUUGUCCUAUUUUUAAACAAUUUUUUAUCAUAAAAGUGUGAGAUGCUGAUAGUAGGUAAUCUGAGAGUGAGCUGGUGAAUAUUUUCCUCCAGACAGCUCUCUUCACCAACAAAAAAUGCAUAAUUCAGCAGGAAGUGGGAGAGACCAAGGCAAAGGAGAGCUGACUGUUUUGGUGACUUUGAGCAAAUAUUUCACCAUCUUUCGCUUCCCUUUUUCCCAUCAGCACAGAGUACCACCAACUACUGAAAACAAAAGAUGUGCUUUGCAGACUCACGGACGUGCACUAGUGCUGCUCUAUGGGCAAGGUUUUCUCGAGGGUGGGAAACAGAAGUGGGAUUUCUAGGUCAACAGGCGUAUGCAUCUUGACUUUUUAUAGGUGGUGCCCAAGAGGACCCCAAAGGUGUUCAGAUUUCCCUUUCACCAUACUCAGCCCAGAGCAGAGCUUGCUUUAUUUAACAAAAGUCUGAGUGGUACAGAUGAUCAACGUGCUCAGCUGCUAAUCGAUAGGACUGAGGUUCCAGUGCAUCAGAGGUACCUCAGAAGAAAGGCCUGGCAAUCUGCUUCUGAAAAACCAGCCACUGAAAACCCUAUGGAGAGUUUUAUUCUAGCACACAUGGGGUCGCCGUGAGACCGGUUGAUCUGAAGGUAACCGCUACCGGCAUUUAUUAAAGACACCGUAGUAUUCGCCCCACUGAAAAUAGUGUCAAAAAUUAUUUUAAAAUUUUAAUACAACCUAUAUUUUAAAAAAAACUCUGUGAUUUCACUUUGGGAUGUAAAAGACCUAGUUAACUGGGAAGGCAUAUUAUGUGCGUAAGUGAGUAGACAUAUUAUUGCAAAGAUGUCAACCCUCCCUCAGCUAAAUCUAUAUAUUCAGUACAUUAUCAUAAAAAUUCCAGCAGGACUGUUUAGGGAACUUGACAAGAUGAUUCUGAAUUUCAUUCGGAAGCAUAAAUUUGCAAGAAAUGCUAAGAAACUUUUAAAAAGGAAGAAUGAAGAAAAUGGGCUUAUCCUAUCAAAUAUCAAUAUAUCCUAAAAAGCUAUGAAAAUAGAAACUGUGGUGCUAGCUGGACUAGGCAAACUGAUCAAUUAAAAACAAUUAAGACUAUAGAAACAGACCAAAAUAUAUAGAGAUUAUUAAGUAAAUGGUUUUAGAGCAAUUGGCUAUUCAUUUGGAGAAAAAUUUAAGUUAGGUUCCUAUUUCACAUCACACUUAAAAAUAAAAUUCAAAUAUAAAUGCUAUAAAAGUAACUAGAAAAAACUACAGACUGUGUUAAUAAUUUUGGGGUAGGGAAGGUCUUUCUAAGCAUGGCAUGAAAUCCAGAAUCAUAUAGGAAAGAGAAUGAUUAUACAAAAUAGAAAUCAAAGUCAAAAGACAACCACAGUAUUUGCACAAAUAGCAAACGAUAUAUAAUAAGAGUUCUAAAGAUUUAAUAAAAGACAAACAACAAUAUCAAAUUAGUAGACACAUAUACACAGAUAAUUUUUUUAAACAAAUAUAAUCAGCUAAUAAAUAUGUGAAAAUAUGUUCAACCUCGUUAGUGGUCCAGGAAGUAAGUAUAAAUUUAAAUAUUCUAGUCUGUUACAAAAUGUAAAUGACUGACAAUGUCAUUGAAUUGUACAUACAGAAACUGUUGAAUGGCUGUUAUGUUUUGCCAUGUAUAUUCUCAACAACAACAACAAAAUAAAAUUUUAAAAAAUGUAAAUGACUGAUAAUAAAAUAUGUCAGCAAGGAUGUUGGAAAAUGGGUACUGUCAUUCAUCAUGGUUGCAAGAUAAAUUGGUACAACAUUUUUAGAGGAAAAUUUAGCAAUAUACACCAAAAUUCUAAAUGCAUGUGUCUUAGGACCUGGCAAUGCCACUUCCAGGAAUCUAUCCAGCUACUAACACAAGUACAUAAAGGUAGGUGUACCUGAAUGCCUAUUGCAGCGCUUUAUUCAGUAAGAAAAAGCUGUAAACAACUGAAGGAACGGAAUUUUAAAAAAAAAAAAAAAGAAUGGUUUAUCCAUUCAGUAGACUGCCCUGGAGCUGAUAAAAAGAAUAACAAUAAUCAUAAUGGUAACUAACGUCACUGAGCUCUUACUAUACGCGUGGCAUUGUGCUAAGGGCUUUAUAUGUUUUGUAACACUUAAUACAUAUGAUAGAUCCAUUUACACCAACAUGGAAUGAUGUCCAGAAUAUAUUGAUAAUUAACGUACACGUUUUGCUUGAUUGAAUUAUUUACCACAAGCAUAUUUUCACUUACUGCUUGCAUCAUUUUAAAAAGAAAACAAAUUUAAGAGGGGGAAGGAUAAACUGUAGAACAACACGUAUAGUCUAUGUGGUAAAGACUAUGAUUCCCCAACCUGUUUCUCCCCGCAGACACCCAGCCUAACUACAUUUCCCUGCCCACCUGCAUGGAGGUGGGGGGAUAUGGCUAUUCCUUGCCAAUGGAAGGCCAUGUGUGGAAAAUGGCAACAUCACAAGAUGGAAGGAGCCUGGGUCCCUGAAUGACUGAGUGAAGCAGAUCUACCCACCCGCCCCCUACAUACUACUGUGCUGUAUGAAGCCACUGAGAUUUACGGUUUGUUACAGCAGCUAGCAUUCCUUCCUACGAUAAUAUAAAACUGUUUUUAUAAAAAAAUAAAUCACGUGGAAUUGCAAUGGCACAGAGAAACUGUUCUAUUUUACUUUACACUCUCUGUGUUGUUUGAAUCUUCCACAACAAUUUAAAAAAUAUUUCUACAAGAUAAUAGGAAGCUAUAACCUAAUCAAUUGUGUUAACACAGCCAAAGAAGAACUGAACUGCCCUUGGUUUGGAGGAAGCCAACUCUGGCAAGCAGCUCUUCCCACAACAAGUUCAGGUCAGAGACAGCCCCCAGGAGAGGAAGGGGUGCUCGUCUCUCCCAUAAAGGCCCACAAAGAGCCAGGUGGCUCUUGAUGUAAUGGGGAGCAUAGGACUUGGAGAACCUGGAACGGAAUCCUGCCUGACACACACCAGGGUGUGAUCUUAGGUCGUUUGCUCUGAGGGAAGCCAUCUGCUAUGGAGAGGCCCAUGGUGUGAGAAACUGAGGCCUCUAGCCAAUGGCCAUCGCGGAGUUGGGGCCUGCCCAUGAUCCUUUGAGAGGACUUAGAAGUGGAUCCUCCAGCCCCAUUUGAGCCUUAAGAUGACAGCUACCCUGUAACCUCAGAAGAUAUCUUGAGCCAGAACCACCCAGCUAAGCUGCUCCCAGAUUCCUGACCCUCAGAACCUGUGUGAGAUAAUAAAUGGUCGCCAUGAGUCGGAAUCAACUCGACGGCAACAAGUAUCUCUCUGUGUAUCAGGUAACUUACAGCAAAUUAUUCUCUAGUAACAAACAACCCCCAAAUCUCAGGGGCUUACACAAUAGAUGUUUACUUCUCACUCACAUUACUUGUCCUUCACAGGUCAGUUUAUUCCAGGACCCAGGAUGACAGAAAAGCCCUUAAGGGAGAUACACUGGUCUCGUGACAGAAGGAGAAAAAGACGGCAGAUCACACAAAAGCUCUUGAAGCUUCUGCUCAGAAGUGUCUCGUGCCAUUUCCACUCACACUUAACUGGCCAGGCAAUCACGUGGCAAAUUUUGUCGUCAAGGGAACAAUAUUACUCCCACGGAAACGGGUCCCAUAGAACGAGCAGGGAAUAGGCUGCAUAAAUCAUAUGAUGUACCACACUCUCUAACAAGAGUAUGUGGAAUUUUUUUUUAUGUUUGUGUAUUUAUAUACUUUCAAAUCCUCUAAAAUGAAUAAAUACUACUUUUUUAAAAAAAGGUUGCGGUAAAUAUAUAUGCGUGUGUAUACAUAUAUAUGUGUAUAUAUAUAUAAAACAAAAAAUUGCCAUGCCACAUUUUUGACAUGGACAAUUCAGUAACGUUAAUUGUUCUCAUCAUGCUGUGCAACCAUCACCACAGUAAGUUCUCAUUGUUGUAAUUAAAAAACUAAUUUGUAAAGUUUUUGGUCGGUUCUCCUGUUGUGCUUUCAAAUUAGCACCAUUUUCAUAACGAAGAGUCCCUAGUGCACGCACAGCACUUUACAGCUUUCGAGCCACUGUCAAAUCCACUAUGUUAGUAAAUGCCCG